GAGUCCAUAGAUUGUCUGAGAGGCCAGGAGCCAAAGAAAGUAUGUUCCCUGAGGGCUCAUGGAUCUUCUUGAGGAUCUGGAGUUUGGAGACAUGUCUCAAGUGCUGUUGCCAAGCUUCGUCCUAACUGACCAUAACAACGUUGCUGCUGUCUGAUACCAAUGACUGUGGCUGCUCUCCUGGAGAACCUGAUGGCUAACAGACAAUGAGAUCCUUGUCCCAGAUUUCAAACAAUAGAUGGUUGGAUACUCAGAGGCAGUUAUGAGCUGGCACACCUGGGCUAGACAGCGGCUCUGAGAAGCAAAGGAAAAUGAGGACAUCACCUUACCUGGCCUCAACAGGGUUAACAGAUACAACUGAGCUCCAGGACUUCCUGACAGCUGCAGUCAUCUCACGUCAUCUCAGAGAAUUAACAACUGUCUCAGCACAUCAUCUCAGAACUAACAGCUGUCUCGGCUUCCCCGCAAGCAUUGGAAGGACUCACUAAACAAUUAGCAGGGAUAGACACACAUGCUUGGAUACUUCAACAGGUCCUUUUCUGGCCCUCUGUACUUGAUCCUCAGAAGACAUACCUGAUGACUCACAGACGGUUCCAGCACAUGUGGCUUUGAGAGUGCUGUACAGCUCAUCAUAUGCUGAUGAUCAGAGAUGUGAUAAGGACUUGAGGGAAUGAUGCUAGACACUACAGAAAACAUUACAGCAGACAACUUCCUCAAAUCAGCACCACAUAUAUUGUUCUUCACAGUUAACUUUAUAAAAUGACAGUAAAAUAUGUGAGGUUACCAAAAUUUCUUUUUCAAACUUGUAGACUUCCUACCUCUAAGGAGUUUGGAAACUGUCACCAUUUUCAUAAAGUUUAUUCAGUUGCAUUUUUGAA